ACAAAUCCUGCUGCAGUGCCCUUCCGGGUGCUGUAGUAUAUUAACUCGGUCCAGGUCGCGAGACUUGGGCUGAUAAAUUAAUGUGUGUGUAAUAUUGACAAUGUGUGUGAUUAAUUUUAUUUAAUUAGUAGA
rnacentral:misc_RNA from 1 species